CACGUAGGGGGCAAGCGUUGUCCGGAUUUAUUGGGCGUAAAGAGCUCGUAGGUGGUUCGGUAAGUCGGGUGUGAAACCUCCAGGCUCAACCUGGAGACGCCACCCGAUACUGCUGUGACUGGAGUCCGGUAGGGGAGCGUGGAAUUCCUGGUGUAGCGGUGAAAUGCGCAGAUAUCAGGAGGAACACCAGCGGCGAAGGCGGCGCUCUGGGCCGGUACUGACACUGAGGAGCGAAAGCGUGGUAGCAAACAGG
rnacentral:rRNA from 1 species